rnacentral:rRNA from 1 species
GCAUAUCAAUAAGCGGAGGAAAAGAAAAUAACAAUGAUUCCCUCAGUAACGGCGAGCGAAGAGGGAUAAGCUCAAAUUUUAAAUCUGUUGGGUUCCGCUUAACAGAGUUGUAUUUUGAAGAAACGUUUUCUGCGUCCAGGAUUAGCCUAAAUCCUUUGGGAUAAGGUAUCAUGGAGGGUGAGAAUCCCGUUCAUGGUUAAUCUUAAGGAAGCUCUACGAUACGUUUUCCAAGAGUCGAGUUGUUUGGGAUUGCAGCUCAAAAUGGGAGGUAAAUUUCUCCUAAGGCUAAAUAUUGGCGAGAGACCGAUAGCGAACAAGUACCGUGAGGGAAAGAUGAAAAGAACUUUGAAAAGAGAGUUAAACAGUACGUGAAAUUGUUGAAAGGGAAACGAUUGAAGUCAGUCAUACCAACGGGAAAUCAACCUUUUGAGCUCGUUCUCGUGGGUUUUGAAGAGUUUCAAAGCCUUCGGAUUCGCGAGAUUGGGAUCUCUUGGUGUACUUUUUCGUACGGUUAGUCAACAUCGGUUUUGAAUGUCAUAAAAUGACUGGAGGAAUGUAGCUUCUUGAAGUGUUAUAGCCUUUGGUAGAUGUGAUGUUUGAGACCGAGGAUUGCAACGGAUACCCUUCAGGGCUAUUCGUCUGAUCUCUGAUACGUUGCCUUGAUGUUGAAAGCUUGCUUAUGAUGUUAGGGUAUUACGGUCAAAAGGUUAGAACGAAUUACAUUCGUUAAGGAUGUUGACGUAAUGGCUUUAAACGAC